GAAAUUUGAAACCAAAUCCGGAAAGGGGGAAACCUGAAGCUUUGAUCUUUUGUCUAAGCCGAUCUGUUCAGCUAAGGUGAAUCCUCGCAAGCGAAACGUGAUAUCAAGGGGAAGAAAAAUACUUGUGAUUUGAGCAGUCGAGGUUGAGCGGCGACGAGCGGUUGGCGGUGUUGAGCAAAUUAAAUGAAGAAUUAAACAUUUAUAUAUAUUUUUGACUACGAGUGUCGUUGUGUCUUCAUACAUGACGUCACUUUUCUCUUGGAUGCUUCCGCUGAAAACCGUUUUACUUAUUGUUGAAUUCUCUAAACUAUUUUGAUUUCGUUUAGAAUCUAAAGACAUGAUAUGUUUUGGAAUACGUUGAACCCUCGUUAUUUCGAAACAAAUGGUGAUAAUUGUUUCCUCUA